CCCCCGGCACCGGGAGCCAGCCCUGCCGGCAGCAUCCCGCGCUCUCCGGGGACACGUGGGGACACAAGGACCUGGGGACAUCGGGCACAAAGGAAUCGGGGAAUGUGGGGACUUAAGGACAAAGGGAUCUGGGAAAGCAGAGACAUCGGGAUCCAGGGACAUUGGACCGCGGGGAUUUGGGGACAAAGGGACCUGGGGCCAUCAAGAUGCAGAGACAAUGGGAUCUGGGAACAUGAGGAUGCGGGGACUUGGGGACACAGGGAUCUGGUGACACUGAGGCCACGGGGCCGGACAGGUGGCUGCCCCGUCCAUCUUUGUGCCGGAGCGGCACAUCCGGGGCGCAGCACAACCGCGCCGGGACGGCGCCGCGGGGAUGGCGCUUCCUCCGGCAAACCGCAGCCGGCUGGCCCCGCGUCCCCGGGGAGCUACCCACGGCAGGGCCCGGCGCCGAGCGCGGGGUCCCCGGGGAGCUACCCACGGCAGGGCUCCAAGGGACCCCACGCUCCCCCCACAGCCGGCUCCCCGCCAGCCCCCGGGAGCGCGGCGAUCCCGCUGCUGCAACGAGAUGGAGCUGCCGCCAGCAGCGUCCCCAAACGCUCCGGGGACACAGGGUCGGUCUCUCGGGUACUGCUCCCCGGGAUGGAGCAGGGAUGGGGCCCCGCAGGUGGCGGACACGGAGGAGGAGCCGUGGCGCUGCCGGGAAGCCCAAGGCUGUUGCCGAAGUCUGGGAGGAGCAGAGGAGGCCCGGCCUCGCUGGGUGCCUUGGGGCGACCCCGGGGAGGCCAGGACAGGGGGGUGCUGGUGAACCCCCCAACAAGGAGAGGGUCUGGCAGAGCAGAGCCACAGCCAGGACCAGCAGCGGGGUCCCCUCACCCACCUCCUCCCACAUAGGGACCUCUCAGCCCCAGGGGAGCCCAAACAUACCCAUAUUGCCCCCAAGAGAGCCCAAAUAACCCCAAAACCCCCUCAAAACCCCAACCUUUCACUACCCCCCUUCCCACAACAUCCUCCAUCCUUCCCAGCUACCCCAAAGCCCCCUCCCCCCAUAACAACAACCCCAUGGACCCCCUCGCCCUCCACCCUCUCCAGUGAUUCCCAGAGCCCCUUUGCCAGCCCCGGGGGGGAACUCACUCCCCGCUCCCCGACCUCCAUCGCCCCCCUAAAACUCCCCAAACCCC
rnacentral:lncRNA from 1 species